rnacentral:rRNA from 1 species
CCUACGGGAGGCAGCAGUGAGGAAUAUUGGUCAAUGGACGGAAGUCUGAACCAGCCAUGCCGCGUGCAGGAAGACGGCUCUAUGAGUUGUAAACUGCUUUUGUAAAGGAAUAAAGUGAGGCACGAGUGCCUUUUUGUAUGUACUUUAUGAAUAAGGACCGGCUAACUCCGUGCCAGCAGCCGCGGUAAUACGGAGGAUACGAGCGUUAUCCGGAUUUCGUGGGUUUAAAGGGAGCGUAGAUGGGUUGUUAAGUCAGUUGUGAAAGUUUGCGGCUCAACCGUAAAACUGCAAUUGAUACUGGCAGUCUUGAGUACAGUUGAGGUAGGCGGAAUUCGUGGUGUAGCGGUGAAAUGCUUAGAUAUCACGAAGAACUCCGAUUGCGAAGGCAGCUUACUAAACUGCCACUGACAUUGAUGCUCGAAAGUGUGGGUAUCAAACAGGAGUAGAUACCCCAGUAGUC